rnacentral:rRNA from 1 species
GCUGUAACGACAACAAACACAAACAUCCAUGAAUAACCAAACAAACCAUUUGACCCACCAAGUAGAUGCGAUCGAACAGUAACCCAUCAACCACAAAGUACCGCAAGGGAAUAACAACAAGCAACUAACAGCAAAGAUUAAUCCUUGUACCUUUUGUAUCAUGGUUUAGCAAGCCACUAUGGACAAGAAGAAUCAAAGCCCACACCCCCGAAACCAGGUGAGCUACUUUCUAGAGCAGCCCAAUAGAGCAAACCCUUCUCUGUAGCAAAAGAGUGGGAAGACUUGAAAGUAGAGGUGAAACGCCUAUCGAACCUGGAGAUAGCUGGCUACCCAAAAAAGAAUCUAAGUUCUACUUUAGACCAAACCAUAAUCAUUUAUUAACUAAAGAUAGUCAAUAGGGGUACAGCUCUAUUGACACAGGAUUCAACCUGUAUUUGAGAGAAAAUACACAAAACACCACCGCCAGUAGGCCUUAAAGCAGCCAUCUAACAAAAUAUCGUUACAGAAUUAACUAAAACCUAAUGCCAAACCAAAAAUAUACCUCCAAACUAACUAAAGGUUAACCCAUUCCCAUGGGUACUACUAUGCUAAAACUAAUAAUAAGCCACCCCCUCUAACGACGCACCCCUCCACUAGAAACGGAUAACCCACUAGCUACCAACAGACCCCAACAGGCAACUAACCAACCUAUACACAUACACAUACAAACUGUGACACCAACACCGGGGCGUCAACAAGAAAGAUAAAAUAUUGUAAAAGGAACUCGGCAACCACAGACCCCAACUGUUUAACAAAAACAUAACCUUUAGCCAAACAAAUAUUAAAGGCAACGCCUGCCCAGUGAACAAUUAAACGGCCGCGGUACCCUAACCGUGCAAAGGUAGCAUAAUCAUUUGUCUAUUAAUUGUAGACCAGCAUGAAAGGCAAAAUGAGGGUCCGUCUGUCUCUUACAAUAAAUCAAUUAAACUGAUCUCCUAGUAAAAAAGCUAGAAUCCACACACAAGACCAAAAGACCCUGUGAAGCUUAAACUAAACUAUUAAACCCUAUAAUACCUACUUUCGGUUGGGGCGACCUUGGAAAAAAAAAGAACUUCCAAACAUAUGACCACACUCAUACACAGGCCUACAAGCCUUAUAUAGACCCAGUAUAGCUGAUAAUUGAACCAAGUUACUCCAGGGAUAACAGCGCUAUCUUCUUCAAGAGUCCAUAUCAAAAAGAAGGUUUACGACCUCGAUGUUGGAUCAGGACAUCCUAAUGGUGCAACCGCUAUUAAGGGUUCGUUUGUUCAACGAUUAACAGUCCUACGUGAUCUGAGUUCAGACCGGAGCAAUCCAGGUCGGUUUUUAUCUAUGACACGCUCUACCUAGUACGAAAGGACCGGUAAAGCAAAGCCAAUACCAAAAGCACGCUUUAACACUACCCAUCAAACAACCAACCAUCCACACUCUUAAACCAAGAUAAGGUUAAUUAAGGACAACCCUUA